UACCAUGAGUGGAGCAGCUACAGCUAUAACACCCACGCGGAUCGGAACCCACGGCAUAAACUUCUUGCUCCAUCCUGAUGCACUUUCAUUGGGUCCGCUGGUGGGUGGUGUUUCCAAACUACCUUCAAACCACAUCCAUGCUGUGACUGGAGGGGUGCCAGGCCACAUCUGGAGCUCAUUGCUGCUGACGCCACACAGCACACAGAGUGGGCUGGGGUGAGAGGGUGUAUUUCAGCUCAUUGGAUCUUUGCCUGGAGAGCUGUUUAUGCUCUGUGAUAAUUUCCUUUUUUCCACACAGUCGAGGAGCUGGAACCGGUCUCACUCCUUCUGAAUUUCAAGUGGCAGUGAAGGCAGGAGUUUUUCUUGGUCUUUUUGUCAAUCAGAUUCCUCUCAAUGGCACAAAAACAAGAAGUCAUAAGCUUUCUCAAAGGAGCAACUGCUUUAUAUGACACCCUGACUAACAGGCCAGCCCAUAGCAUCCUCUAAGUGUCCCGUCGGCAAAUUCGGUGAAACAUGAUCAAAGGUGAUGUUUUAGAUUUGUGAGCAGUGAGGUAAUGAAAACCCGCUGCAGGAAUGUCAAAAGACCUCAGUUGUUAUUGAUAAUUUUUCCCAACCUGGUUUGAAUUUGAGGUCUGCUUUACUCUUUCAUGUCAAAAAAAGAUGUUUUUUCUUUCUUUGAAAAAGGUGUACCUGGAUGAGAUGGCUUUUGGGAGUUUUCACUUAAUGUGAAGUCUUGGACAGGAUUCCAGAAGUUUGAGGAAUUUGGACGGCUGCUCUAUUUAGCGAGCUUUAUUUGGAAAGCAAUGAAACUUCCUGGGCCUGGAACCCACUUCCACCAUAAUGAGUCCAAGUUAAACCAGCCCUGGAUGUUAUUCUCUUCUGAAAUAGAAGGUGGUCGGUGUGCCAAGGUUGCAUGAAGGGAUUCUUAGUCUGUGCUUGGAACCUUAUUCUAUAUGGUAUGUUUGUGUGAACAAAUAAUGAGAAUGGUGUGUCCUUGCUGUGGCCCUCUGCAGGCUCAGAAAUGUCUUUAGGCUGUAAAGGGUAGAUUUUGGGUCUAACAAGAAAAAAUAUAAAUCACCACAAAAAUAAA